rnacentral:misc_RNA from 1 species
GGUUUGAUCAUGGCUCAGAUUGAACGCUGGCGGGAUGCUUUACACAUGCAAGUCGAACGGCAGCACGGACUUCGGUCUGGUGGCGAGUGGCGAACGGGUGAGUAAUGUAUCGGAACGUGCCUAGUAAGUGGGAUAACCACGCGAAAGCGUAGCUAAUACCGCAUACGCCCUUCGGGGGAAAGUGGGGACCUUCGGGCCUCGCACUAUUAGAGCGGCCGAUAUCGGAUUAGCCAGCGGUGGGGUAACGGAUCACCAAGGCGACGAUCCGUAGCUGGUUUGAGAGGACGACCAGCCACACUGGACCGGAGACACGGCCCAGACUCCUACGGGAGGCAGCAGUGGGGAAUUUUGGACAAUGUGGGGGGAAACCCUGAUCCAGCCAUCCCGCGUGUGCGAUGAAGGCCUUCGGGUUGUAAAGCACUUUUGGCAGGAAAGAAACGGCACGGGAUAAUACCUCGUGCAACUGACGGUACCUGCAGAAUAAGCACCGGCUAACUACGUGCCAGCAGCCGCGGUAAUACGUAGGGUGCAAGCAGCAACAUG